rnacentral:lncRNA from 1 species
CCCCACCCUCGAGCCGGCGCCCCGCCCUGGCCUCUGCUCAUUGGCCUGGAUCCCCACAGAGCCGCCCUCAUUGGCCGUCCUUCACCUCAAGGGGGCGGGGCCCAAAGUCGCCGGAGUUUUGCUCGGGACGGGACGUCCGACAGAGGAGAGGCUGACGUCGGGGUGACGCUCCGAGUUAAUCGCAUCUGACGUCACGUCUCGUCUUAGCUCGCCUGCGGCGAUUGGCUGAGCGGCUUUGGGGAUCCCCUGCUAAUUGGGCGUCAAGGUUACAAGGUCUGGUUGUCUCAGUCGGAGCCCCGCCCCUGAAGGGUAAUAGAGGACUGAAGGCAGUAACAGAGUACCUGCCACUGUGGUCCGUGGUGAAGAUCCCCAUCCGGUAAAGGCAGGACAUGUGACCAAUGCCAGAAGAGGAUUCAACUAGAAGCAGACCAAGAGUAAAUAAUCUGUCCUCCCUUACUUCCUAGAAGGGAAAGGACCUUUAAAGAGAAGCCAUUCUUUGUUCAAAGGCACAAAACUGAUUGGGAAGAACUGAGAUCCUGGCCAUCUGUCCUGAUUUUCUGGGCUGCUUCAGUAAGAUCCAAGUACCCUCAGAGACAACUCAUUUCUAACUGAGAUUGGGAAAAUCCAGCAUUUCAGCUUCUGCAAGUAAUCAGCAGACCUUCUGGGUUGGGCAGAUAUGUGAAGGAAAUCCAGGAACAAAGGAUGUCCAUGACCAGAAAUUACCCACUGGGGAAGUGCUGAAGAAUGGCCUACUAGGAAGAGGUGGACACACGUUGUUCAAGAGGAGGUUGUCCCAGGUCAAUGGAGUCUCUUCUUCAGAAGGCCUAUCUUCUGUCCGUCUUUCUAUCAUACCUCAUAUUUACCUAAGAGAGGCUACCAAUAGACCAAAGAAAUGUUUCUGCCCAAGUCCAGAUUGGUGUUUAUGUUUGCCUAUGGAAUUUCUCUGUACAGUCACUGGCAUGGAGGAAGGAAGAUAAGCCAGAAGUCACACUGAGAUCAUGACUGCCAGCUUGCUCUUUUUCCCAGAUGCUAAAUCACUGC